UAUGACCUCCCCCCUAAGGUGGAGUUCUGCUCUGGUAGCGCUUAAGGACACUAGGUGCUCACUUAUGGGGGCCCCUGGUUUUAGUCUGGCAGAGAAGAAGUCUUUGGAGAUCUGGGUAGUGGUGGACACACUCUCACUGUAAUACAACCCAAACAUUUUCUGUAUGAUUUCAGAUACUGUGAGAUUAUGACCAAUGCAGUGAUAGAUCGUGGGAGAUAUGCUUGCAAUUAAAAGGAACACUACCUGGAGCUGCUGUGACCACUCUAGGAUAUUGCCCCCAUCCAUCCUCAACUUAGGAAAGUCACUCGGCGGAAGAGCGCAUGCGCGAAGUCCAUUUCUGCCCUGCCGUCGUCGAGGAAGGACCUG